rnacentral:sRNA from 1 species
AGCUGGACGGGGUCGACGGCGCGGGUCACAACGAGGUAAUCGCGCAUCACGAUGCCGUGACGGUUCUC